rnacentral:rRNA from 1 species
GAUGAACGCUGGCGGCGUGCUUAACACAUGCAAGUCGAACGAUUAAAGCUCACUUCGGUGAGUGUAUAGAGUGGCGAACGGGUGAGUAACACGUGGGCAACCUGCCCCUCACACUGGGAUAACCAUUGGAAACGAUGGCUAAUACCGGAUACUCCAUCGAGAUCACAUGGUCAUGAUGGGAAAGCUCCGGCGGUGAGGGAUGGGCCCGCGGCCCAUUAGCUUGUUGGUGAGGUAACGGCUCACCAAGGCAACGAUGGGUAGCCGAGCUGAGAGGCUGAUCGGCCACACUGGGACUGAGACACGGCCCAGACUCCUACGGGUGGCUG